rnacentral:misc_RNA from 1 species
GAUGAAGAACGUAGCGAAAUGCGAUAAGUAAUGUGAAUUGCAGAAUUCAGUGAAUCAUCGAAUCUUUGAACGCACAUUGCGCCCCUUGGUAUUCCGAGGGGCAUGCCUGUUCGAGCGUCAUUAUAACCCCUCAAGCUCAGCUUGGUGUUGGGGCCUGCUGCACUGGCAGCCCUUAAAAUCAGUGGCGGCGCCAUCUGGCUCUAAGCGUAGUAAUUCUUCUCGCUAUGGAGUCCAGGUGGAUGCUUGCCAUCAACCCCCAAUUUUUCUAUGGUUGACCUCGGAUCAGGUAGGGAUACCCGCUGAACUUAAGCAUAUCAAUAAGCGGAGGA